GACGAACGCUGGCGGCGUGCUUAACACAUGCAAGUCGAACGGUAAGGCCCUUCGGGGUACACGAGUGGCGAACGGGUGAGUAACACGUGGGUGAUCUGCCCUGCACUUCGGGAUAAGCCUGGGAAACUGGGUCUAAUACCGGAUAGGACCCUGGGAUGCAUGUCCUGGGGUGGAAAGCUUUUGCGGUGUGGGAUGGGCCCGCGGCCUAUCAGCUUGGUGGUGGGGUGAUGGCCUACCAAGGCGACGACGGGUAGCCGGCCUGAGAGGGUGACCGGCCACACUGGGGCUGAGAUACGGACCAGACGCCUGCGGGAGGCAGAAGUGGGGAAUAUUGGACCAUGGGCGCAAGACUGAUGCAGCUACGCCGCGUGAGGGAUGACGGCCUUCGGGUUGUAAACCUCUUUCAGCACCGACGAAGCGCAAGUGACGGUAGGUGCAGAAGAAGGACCGGCCAACUACGUGCCAGCAGCCGCCGUAA
rnacentral:rRNA from 1 species